GGAGAGGUGGCCGAGUGGUCGAAGGCGCUCGCCUGCUAAGCGAGUGGAGGGUGAAUUAGCUCUCCCGAGGGUUCAAAUCCCUCCCUCUCCG
rnacentral:tRNA from 1 species